rnacentral:lncRNA from 1 species
UCCACGCUUGUUGUCACCGCUUCGAUGACUGCUCUCAUUAGUAUUAUCAUUUUGCUGGCUGCUCUCUUUUGGUUGGGUUGACUCAUUAUCGCGCUCUAAUAACUGAGCCCUAUUAACAACAUCUGAAUACAAACACAGUUUAUGAGAGAUAAAAUAUUGACGUAUCUUGGGUUUCAAACCUCUUAGAAACAUUCGCGUCAUUCUCUCCUCAUUAUCAACCAAAUGGGACGCAAACCAGGACAACUCGACAAACUUGGCUUCUACUGCGACACGGUCAUGUUGUUUUGCUCCAGCUUUAUGAACUCUACCUCUUUCAUGUGACGAAUACUUUUGGGAAAGUACUUGUUGUUGAACAAUUCUUGGAACUUCUCCCAAGUCAUCUUCAGUGCGGCAGGUUGAGUACGCUUUACAGAUUCCCACCAGUAAUCUGCCUCUGCUUGCAACAUGAAGGUGGCAAAGGGAACCUUUUGCUCCUCAGAGCAUCCCAAGACAUCAAAUAUCUUGCAGAUCUUCUUUAUCCAU